GGUCUGAAUACUUAUGUAAAUCAUUUGCAAAAAAAAUUCUUAACCUGUUUAUGUCAUUAUGAGGCACUGUGUGUAGAUUGCUGAUAAUAUUUUGUAUUUAGUCCAUUUUCGAAUAUGGCUGUAACAUAAAAUGUGGAAAAAGUCAAGGGGUCUGAAUACUUUCCGAAUGCACUGAAUACCGCAUCUAAAGUCAAUCUGGUGGCCUCCCCUCAAUCUUCGCUAGCUAGCUAGCUAACGUUAUACUGCAUCUAAAGUCAAUCUGGUGGCCUCCCCUCAAUCUUCGAUAGCUAGCUAACGUUAUACUGCAUCUAAAGUCAAUCUGGUGGCCUCCCCUCAAUCUUCGCUAGCUAGCUAACGUUAUACUGCAUCUAAAGUUAAUCUGGUGGCCGCCCCUCAAUCUUCGCUAGCUAGCUAACGUUAUACUGCAUCUAAAGUUAAUCUGGCAACAUCAAAAAUAAUGACAAAAGGUUUUUCUUACUAAUUAUUUGCCUCCUUUUCAAUGUCAUUCUAUUUCCAAGCCACUAAUACACACUUUUAAUGAAAUCUUCACCAGCGCUCAUUGACGAUGCAUUGAGUAGAAUGCUCAGGUCGGGCAUCAGUCCAAAACAAAACGUUCAAAACAAUAUAAUGACGAAACAUGCGACCCAUGAAUAGAUUAACUCCAGCUAGGCUAGUUGAGAACAAGUCCUUUAUUUAACCAGGUAGGCUAGUUGAGAACAAGUCCUUUAUUUAACCAGGUAGGCUAGUUGAGAACAAGUCCUUUAUUUAACCAGGUAGGCUAGUUGAGAACAAGUUCUCAUUUGCAACUGCGACCUGGCCAAGAUAAAGCAAAGCAGUUUGACAACAUACAACAACACAGAGUUACACAUGGAGUAAAACAAACAUACAGUCAAUAAUACAGUAGAAAAAUAAGACUAUAUACAAUGUGAGCAAAUGAGGUGAGAUAAGGGAGGUAAAGGCAAUAAAUAGGCCAUGGUGGCAAAGUAAAUACAAUAUAGCAAGUAAAACACUGGAAUGGUAGAUUUGUAGUGGAAGAAAGUGCAAAGUACAAAUAGAAAUAAUGGGGUGCAAAGGAGCUAAAUAAAUAAAUACAGUAGGGGAAGAGGUAGUUGUUUGGGGCUAAAUUAUAGAUGGGCUGUGUACAGGUGCAGUGAUCUGGGAGCUGCUCUGACAGCUGGUGCUUAAAGCUAGUGAGGGAGAUAAGCGUUUCCAGUUUCAAUUUGUGGCAUAUACUUCUCCUAAUAUAUCAUACAUAACCUAAAGCAGCGUUAAAAAUUAUUCUUGUCCUUCCUUCUAACCUAUCGACUCUCUCUUCCCCCCCCCCACCAAUCGGUCCUUUAUGUCAUAACUCAACCCUUUAACUCUACAGAGUCUGAGAAACGAUCCUCUGAAAGCUCGGUUGAGAUUAUGUCCACAGCAGGACAAGCCUAUACGCUUCAAGGAGAAGUUCAUAACCGCACUCCCCGAUGGCACUCUGUCUGGCGGCUGUUGCUAAGCAGCGAGAGCUCUGCGGCGAAUAGAGAACGUCAGAGAGAAAGAAGUGGGGAAAAAAACUCCAGAAAGUUGUGGAUGAAGGUGCUGCUAGAUCCUAUAGAGCUUGUGGUCGCAGACUGGUCCAUCGCCAAAACGUUUAAAACCCAUGACUAGAGAGAGAGAGAGAGAGACUGUCAACACGUGCCUUCGUCCUUCGUCCCACUCAGAGCUGUCAACACGUGCCUUUGUCCUUCGUCCCACUCAGAGCUGUCAACACGUGCCUUCGUCCUUCGUCCCACUCAGAGCUGUCAACACGUGCCUUCGUCCUUCGUCCCACUCAGAGCUGUCAACACGUGCCUUCGUCCUUCGUCCCACUCAGAGCUGUCAACACGUGCCUUCGUCCUUCGUCCCACUCAGAGCUGUCAACACGUGCCUUCGUCCUUCGUCCACUCAGCCCUGUCAACACGUGCCUUCGUCCCACUCAGAGCUGUCAACACGGGCCUUCGUCCUUCGUCCCACUCAGAGCUGUCAACACGUGCCUUCGUCCUUCGUCCCACUCAGAGCUGUCAACACGUGCCUUCGUCCUUCGUCCCACUCAGAGCUGUCAACACGUGCCUUCGUCCUUCGUCCCACUCAGCCCUGUCAACACGUGCCUUCGUCCUUCGUCCACUCAGAGCUGUCAACACGGGCCUUCGUCCUUCGUCCACUCAGCUUUGUCAACACGUGCCUUUGUCCUUCGUCCACUCAGAGCUGUCAACACGUGCCUUCGUCCACUCCUCCCUGUCAACACGUGCCUUCGUCCUUCGUCCACUCAGCCUGUCAACAGUAAUGAAUGAGGUGAAAAGUGUAUCGAUAGACCUGCAUUGUUAUUAUUAGAAGCUUGGGUCGUUUUUCUAAAUAUCAAGGAAUUUCAAUUUCUCUGUUCAUAGGAGCAACAAGGUGAAUUUGUUAACGAGGCAGAAAUAAUGUGGUGAGACUCGAGUUUCACCAUCAGCUGGAAGACGGUGUCCCGAACUGGCUCAGUGUCAUUGGUGGAAAGGGAGAAGGAGAGGCGGACCCUAACUGGCUCAGUGUCAUUGGUGGAAAGGGAGAAGGAGAGGCGGACCCUAACUGGGUCAGUGCCAUUGGUGGAAAGGGAGAACGAGAGGCGGACCCGAACUGGGUCAGUGUCAUUGGUGGAAAGGGAGAACGAGAGGCGGACCCGAACUGGGUCAGUGUCAUUGGUGGAAAGGGAGAACGAGAGGCGGACCCUAACUGGGUCAGUGUCAUUGGUGGAAAGGGAGAACGAGAGGCGGACCCUAACUGGCUCAGUGCCAUUGGUGGAAAGGGAGAACGAGAGGCGGACCCUAACUGGGUCAGUGUCAUUGGUGGAAAGGGAGAACGAGAGGCGGACCCUAACUGGCUCAGUGUCAUUGGUGGAAAGGGAGAACGAGAGGCGGACCCUAACUGGGUCAGUGCCAUUGGUGGAAAGGGAGAACGAGAGGCGGACCCUAACUGGCUCAGUGCCAUUGGAGGAAAGGGAGAACGAGAGGCGGACCCUAACUGGGUCAGUGUCAUUGGAGGAAAGGGAGAAGGAGAGGCGGGCCCUAACACGGCCAACGGUAGUAGAGGCUCAGAGAGACAGGCAAACCCACAGCAGUAGAGACUCAGAGGAGAGACAGGCAAACCCACAGUAGUAGAGGCUCAGAGGAGAGACAGGCAAACUCACAGUAGUAGAGGCUCAGAGGAGAGACAGGCAAACCCACAGUAGUAGAGGCUCAGAGGAGAG
rnacentral:lncRNA from 1 species